UGGGGAAUAUUGGACAAUGGGCGAAAGCCUGAUCCAGCCAUGCCGCGUGUGUGAAGAAGGUCUUCGGAUUGUAAAGCACUUUAAGUUGGGAGGAAGGGCAGUAAGCGAAUACCUUGCUGUUUUGACGUUACCGACAGAAUAAGCACCGGCUAACUCUGUGCCAGCAGCCGCGGUAAUACAGAGGGUGCAAGCGUUAAUCGGAAUUACUGGGCGUAAAGCGCGCGUAGGUGGUUCGUUAAGUUGAAUGUGAAAGCCCCGGGCUCAACCUGGGAACAGCAUCCAUAACAAGCGGGCUAGAGUAGUGCAGGAGGUGGUGGAAUUUCUUGUGUAGCAGUGAAAUGCGGAGAUAUAGGAAGGAACACCAGUGGCGAAGGCGACCACCUGGGCUAAUACUGACAAUGAGGUGCGAAAGCGUGGGGAGCAAACAGG
rnacentral:rRNA from 1 species